rnacentral:rRNA from 1 species
UUCCUACGGGUGGCUGCAGUGAGGAAUAUUGCUCAAUGGGCGAAAGCCUGAAGCAGCAACGCCGCGUGCGCGAUGAAGGUCUUCGGAUCGUAAAGCGCUUUUGAGAGGGACGAGAUAGGACGGUACCUCUUGAAUAAGUCACGGCUAACUACGUGCCAGCAGCCGCGGUAAAACGUAGGUGGCAAGCGUUAUCCGGAUUCACUGGGCGUAAAGCGAGUGCAGGUGGUUGUGUAAGUUGGAUGUGAAAUUUCCAAGCCUAACUUGGAAGGGUCAUUCAAUACUGCGCGACUUGAGGGCAGAAGAGGGGGGUGGAAUUGCCGGUGUAGUGGUGAAAUGCGUAGAUAUCGGCAGGAACACCUGUGGCGAAAGCGGCCCCCUGGUCUGAUCCUGACACUCAGACUCGAAAGCUAGGGUAGCGAACGGGAUUAGAUACCCGAGUAGUCGA